rnacentral:piRNA from 1 species
UACUCAUCUGUCUGAGAGCUUUGGUGGCC